UACGGAGGGGACUAGCGUUGUUCGGAAUUAUCGUGGGCGUAAAGCGCACGUAGGCGGAUUUGUAAGUCAGGGGGUGAAAUCCUGGAGCCUCAACUCCAGAACUGCCUUUGAUACUGAAGAUCUUGAGUCCGGGAGAGGUGAGUGGAACUGCGAGUGUAGAGGUGAAAUUCGUAGAUAUUCGCAAGAACACCAGUGGCGAAGGCGGCUCACUGGCCCGGUACUGACGCUGAGGCACGAAAGCGUGGGGAG
rnacentral:rRNA from 1 species